rnacentral:rRNA from 1 species
UACGGGGGGAGCAAGCGUUGUUCGGAUUCAUUGGGCGUAAAGGGUGCGUAGGUGGCGCCGUAAGUCGGGUGUGAAAUUUCGGAGCUUAACUCCGAAACUGCAUUCGAUACUGCGGUGCUCGAGUACUGGAGAGGAGAUUGGAAUUUACGGUGUAGCAGUGAAAUGCGUAGAUAUCGUAAGGAAGACCAGUGGCGAAGGCGAGUCUCUGGACAGCAACUGACGCUGAGGCACGAAGGCCAGGGGAGCAAACGGG